rnacentral:siRNA from 1 species
UAUUGGACUGCCUACUAGGUAC